UGACGAAAAAUCUGCGUGUCUCAGGCUC
rnacentral:piRNA from 1 species